CUUCUGUGUGGAAGGCAUUAUCACCUCAGGUGCUCGAGGCAUCAUUCAAGGUGUCUCCUGAAGUGGAGAAGCAUUUUCGUUCAAAGAGAAUGUCUGAUGAGAUUUUCUUCCCACCGCCAAACUGAGGAAUCUCCACCCACCACCACCAGUUGAGGAACCACCACCAAACUUGAGGAAGUAGUAGCUAGCUAGGGUUACUUUUCAUCUAGUCUCGUUUAGUUUUGUUUUUUUCUUUUCUUUUCCCAAUAAAGAGCUAUUAGAGGAUCUCUAGAGAAUCUAAAACUCUUCCAUAAUCUCCCUUCCACCUGUGGAUAUGGUCUUUUUCUUUUCUUUUUUUUUUUUUUUUAAUUUCAAUGAAUAUCGUGGUUUCUUUCUGCAUUUUUCAGUUAAUUAAUUAUAUUUUCUUUAGUCUGUUUCAUUAUUCACAUUGUUUUAUAACUGUUAUUUGAUUUCUCAAUGAUUAUCUUUCCGUUAUUUUAAAAUAAAAUUUGGUCUAAUUAUAAAAAAAUUAUUAACUUAUAUAAAUUAAGAUCUAUCCUACAAUAUCAUGGACUUUUUUUAAAGAAUGAAAUAAAGGUUUUCAGAUUUUUCAAUUUCAUCAAUAUAGCCUAAAUUAUAACAUUAAUAACAACUUUCCUAUCUAAUUCAGUGACUUAGAAUAUAAAUCUUAUUUAGAAAAAUAAUAACAAGUGCCAUUAUUCUCAGGCUAAAAUAAUUAAACCCAUUUGGGAAAAUAUUUAA
rnacentral:lncRNA from 1 species